AACGCACAUUGCGCCCCCUGGUAUUCCGGGGGGCACGCCCGUCCGAGCGUCAUCUCUACCAUCCAGCCCGGCUGGGUCAUGGGCGGCGGGCGGCGGCACCUCCAAGCCGCCGCCCGCGCCCCAAAUCGCUCGGCCGCCCGGCCGUGUCGGGGCGUCAGGACGGAUCACCGUUCGCCCGCGACGCGCCGCCGCGGCGGCCGCUGCCCUCGCGGCAGACACACGCAAAAGGUGGACCUCGGAUCGGGCGGGGAUACCCGCUGAACUUAA
rnacentral:misc_RNA from 1 species